CAACAUUUAAUUUGUGAUGUAAUUCAGGGAUCGAGAACUGCUUUGGAAAAGAUUGUAACACUAACCAGGUCUGAAGCAGUGAAACACACAGAGUAGCUAGAUGGAGGACAGGGUGUGACUGGCAGGUGCUCCUCCACAGCUGCAGGUCAUUAACAGCAAUUAGGAGAAGCAUGAAGAGUUGCAGCUUCCUCGAGGCUGAUGUCAGAUUGCUUUUGCUCCCCAGCUUGACAGUGCCUCUUGUUCUGACCCAAGUGCCUAUGCUGAUUUCCUUGCACACCCUCCUAUGGAUUCCAGAUGAGAUAUCCUGGAUUGUGAUUCAGUGUACCGGCUUGCUGCUUCCCUGGGUACUCUACUGUUGCUAGCUGCUGGAGCUAGAUGUCUCUCGCUCUCCUGCCUGUCAACUCUCCCACGCUUCACGCUAAACUCGAGACACCAGCCACUACCAAACGUCAGCCUACAGCCCUCUAACGACCAUCUCUGAUGAUCGCUUCACCUUCUCCAGUACGCUUCCUCUUGUCAUUCACAUGCUCCCCCAUGAGGCCCAUGUGGGAUCCACCCUGAAACUCUGUGUUCUCACCUGUUUAAUAAACCUGAUUCAACUGAC